ACUCCUGGUGCUCGCGUAGACUAGACCAGUGCGAUGGGCGGAGCCAACGAGGAGGCACAAUUUACAUCCUUGGCCGUCCCUACUCGGAUUUGCUGAAGGAGUCACGUCGGUCGUUAAGGUUAAGCUUUGUAGAGAACAGCGGCGUUUGUUUAACGUCCGGGGAUGCUGAACUCGAAAUCCCCGUUCUGAGCCGGCUACCUAAACAACCUUCCCGACCACCUCUCCUGACCUCGGUGCUUGGGACCAGGGAAAAGCAGAUCUUGCCACAGACUUGUCUUGGCCCACACUCUGCCCUAUCGUCAUGGCCUGCUCCCACAGGUCAUAACUUCCGUUCAAAUCAGUACCCCCACAUUUCCCACUGCAAGGGUAAAUUUGAAAGUUUCUCAGGUGACUCCUUGGAUGUAGCAGUACUGAGUCCUCUAACCGGAAAGAAGGAACUGAUGUCCACCCUCACUUUCCAGGGGCCUCCAGGAGCCCCUAGACACUUCUGUGGUCUACUGUAGCUACCAAAAAUGUAGCUGGUUAUAACAUGGGGAGAGCCAGAGUCGGAGGACCUGACUUCCAAUUCUGACUUGGAUACUAAUAUCACAUCAUUGUACCCAUUUCAAACUCCCCCUCUGUAAAAUGGAAAAUUGGACUAGAUGAUCUCUUAGGACUUCAAACUGUAACCCUGUGGUUUUAUUCAAAAAAAACAGGUAGCUUCUUGCUGGAGAUUCCUGGAUGGAUUCCAGUCUUCCCAAGAGGUAACAAAGGAGAGGUAACCAGUUGCCCGUGCAGUAGCUCAAGAAUACAGAAGAGAAACUGGCUUCACUCACUAUUCCAUCUUUUUCCAAGGUGGCAAACUCUAUGCCUCCUCCCCAGAGAAAAGCCUAACUGUAGGUUCUAAUGGACAAGAGCUCACUGUAGCUGGUCAGAAAGGCCUAUAUCCAGGACUACAAUAGUCAUUGCUCAGCUUCCUAAGUAGGGAAUACAACUAGGCCCCUUUGGGUCUUGGAUAGGCUAAGAGGACAGAUCUGAACAUGCCUGGGUCUAAGUGAGGUGUGGGAAAA
rnacentral:lncRNA from 1 species